rnacentral:lncRNA from 1 species
UGUGUGACACAACAGUGCUGAGUGUGACACAACAGUGCAUGCUGUGACACAACAGUGCUGUGUGUGACACAACAGUGCUGAGUGUGACACAACAGUGCAAUGUGUGACACAACAGUGCUGAGUGUGACACAACAGUGCUGAGUGUGACACAACAGUGCAAUGUGUGACACAACAGUGCAAUGUGUGACACAACAGUGCUGAGUGUGACACAACAGUGCAAUGUGUGACACAACAGUGCUGAGUGUGACACAACAGUGCUGAGUGUGACACAACAGUGCAAUGUGUGACACAACAGUGCUGAGUGUGACA